rnacentral:rRNA from 1 species
GACGAACCGAGCGAACGUUAUUCGGAAUCACUGGGCUUAAAGGGCGCGUAGGCGGGCGGCCAAGUCAGAGGUGAAAGCCCCCAGCUCAACUGGGGAAGUGCCUUUGAUACUGGUCAUCUCGAGGGAGAUAGGGGCGUGCGGAACUUCCGGUGGAGCGGUGAAAUGCGUAGAUAUCGGAAGGAACACCGGUGGCGAAAGCGGCGCGCUGGAUCUCUUCUGACGCUGAGGCGCGAAAGCCAGGGGAGCGAACAGG